rnacentral:lncRNA from 10 species
CAGGACUUGACAAGAGGCUUAGUAUGAAGGAGAACACUUUCAGGGGACCAAGUCAGAGAUAAGUCUGCAACCACAGCAAUGGCCCUUUAGAAAGCAUUUAAGAGGCCUGGUGCUUUUUGAGCUGCUUUGAUGACGUGGCAAUGGCUGGAGGGGAAAAGCAGCGGCACAGCUGCCUGCCAUUGGCCUGGUCUUUUUCACUGUGCUCAGUGUUGUCAUCACGAAGCCUCUCAUGCAGCGCGAUGUCAGGAUGGGCCCAUGCGCGGGUGGAAGGCAUGUGGGGGCCAUGUUGCCAGCUGCGGAUGGACAGGCUUCUGAUAUCAGGCUGUGACAGCACUGUCAUCUCCCAAGAAUCCAGCAUCCGUCUGCAUGGAUUGCAUGCCAUCCUUGAAUCCACUCACUUGCCCAGCCCCUGAACCAACUGAUGAAUGUGGUGAAGUCUUCCCUUCGUCACCCCAGGUGCAGCCACAGCCUCUGCAGCCACCCUGGGGGAGAGACAGCUCCAGGACCUGCUAAGGUGAGGUGUUCUGGAAGGGUCUCUGCUCCUAGCAGUCACUGGCAGCUUGCCCAAAUUGGAGAAGUUUAACAUCUCUUUUCUCUGAGAAGUAAAAUGUGUUUCUUUGGUGGAUGUGAAACCAACAAACCACUGUGGUGCCUCUCUACAUCUGAAGGAUGAGCCAGCCAAGCCAGGGGAACUGACGACCCCACACACGUCUGCACUGCUGUGGCCGUGUUGAACACGGACUCCUUCUUCAGGGCAGCCUUGGGCCAUCGGAGGGCUGCUGUAUGCAGUGACGGCCACCAAGUGUCCUUGGCCAGGGGAGUGAUUUACAGGGACUGAGAUCCUGACUUGUGACCCAGACACGAAUGCAUCCUUGUUCCAUUUUGUUAUUGCUCAACCGUCAUCUGGCCAUCCCCAAAGCCCACCUCUGUGAGAAAGGCCAGUGCUUGUCCUCGUGACACCCCUGAGACCUCGAUGGAGCAAGUCCCAGGGCCCAUCAUACAUUUUUAAAGAAAAUCUUCUUUUGGUGAGAAGAUCAAAGGGCCAGGCAGAAAUGGAAAAGCACUUUCUGGCAUCAGACUUCCUCUGACUUCUCCGGUUGCCACACCACUGAAAGACUGCCCCACAGUGCGAGGGACGUCCACAUCUGCCUGGCUCUCCGAGGGAUGAACAGCCUUCAGUUCAGCUUCCUGUCACACCCCAAAAUCCACCAGGGCUCUGCAGUCAUAGAGCCCUGGAACCCAGAGGUGGAAACUUAAAGGAAUGAGUGCUCUCUCGCUCCAAAACCACAGAUAUCUGGUCCAUAGAGAACCCACCACACUUGUAUACAUUUUCAUACGUCUGCGCACAUACACAAAUGCACAAACACAUGUUCAGCUGUUGAUAAUCAUCUGAUCUUUUGCUCUUUCGAUGUAAAUAUGGCCAGAUAUCUCUGGCUUUAAUUCUCAUUAAAAUUUUGAAAGUUAUACUUUCUAUACAAUAUACAUCAUGGAUGUCCAAUCUUUUGGCUUCCCUGUGCCAGAUUGAAAGAAGAAGAAUUGUCUUGGGGCCUGGCGUGAUGGCUCAUGCCUAUUAAUUCCAACACUUUGGGAGGCGGAGGUGGGAGGAUCACCUGAGAUCAGGAGUUCACGACUAGCCUGGCCAACAUGGUGAAACCCCCCCAUCUCUACUAAAAAUAUAAAAAUUAGCGAAGCAUGGUGGCACAUGCCUGUAAUCCCAGCUAUGCAGGAGGCUGAGGCAGGGGAAUCACUUGAUCCCAGGAAGCAGAGGUUGCAGUGAGCCAAGAUUGCACCAUUGCAUUCCAGCCUGGGCAACAGAGUGAGACCCAGUCUCAAGAAAAAAAAAAAAGAAUUAUCUUGGGCCACACAUACACACAUAAAAUACACUAACACUAAUGAUAGCUAAUGAGCUAAAAAAAAUUUCAAGAAUAUCAUAAUGUUUUAAGAGUUUAUGAAUUUGUGUUGGGCCACAUUCAAAGUCAUUGUGGGCUGCAUGUGGCCCGAGGGCCGCAGGUUGGACAAGCUUGAUAUACAUAUUAUGUAUAUUAUAUAUUUCUGUGAAAACAGAAUAAAUCCAAGACUGAGGAUCUAAUUCCAAAAUUCAUUUUUGUAGGCAUUCUGAGACUUAACUAUUUUUCUAGUCACAUAAUAAGGAAAGGAUCCUUACAGAAAUACUGAAAGCUCUUGGUUCUGCCUUUGCUG